CUCAUCGAGAUCCAGGACACGCUCAGGUCCACGCCCGCCGAGAACAAGACCAUGAAGAAGGCGUCCUUCUACGGGCUCGCCAUGACCACCGUCUUCUACCUCUUCCUCGGGUGCACGGGCUACGCCGCCUUCGGGAACGACGCGCCGGGGAACAUCCUCACGGGCUUCGCCUUCUACGAGCCCUUCUGGCUCGUCGACGUAGCCAACGUUUGCGUCAUCGUGCACCUCAUCGGGGCGUACCAGGUGUUCGCGCAGCCGAUCUUCGCCAGGGUGGAGUCCUACGUGUCGGGCAAGUACCCGGACGCCAAGUUCAUCAACGCCGUCU
rnacentral:lncRNA from 1 species